GCCCCCAGAGGUGGAGCCUACUGAGGCAGGCAGGCCUCCUUGAGCUGUGGUGGGCUCCACCCAGUUCGAGCUUCCUGGCUGCUUUGUUUACCUAAUCAAGCCUGGGCAAUGGCGGGCGCCCCUCCCCCAGCCUCGCUGCCGCCUUGCAGUUUGAUCUCAGACUGCUGUGCUAGCAAUCAGCGAGACUCCGUGGGCGUAGGACCCUCCGAGCCAGUGAGAUGAACCCGGUACCUCAGCUGGAAAUGCAGAAAUCACCCGUCUUCUGCGUCGCUCACGCUGGGAGCUGUAGACUGGAGCUGUAGACAGGAGCUGUUCCUAUUCGGGCAUCUUGGCUCCUCCUUGAAAACAAGCCCUGGAAAAACAAAGAAUGGAACACCCCUCCGCUGACUUCAACCAACUGCCUGCUGAUGCGGCCUGACUCCCAGCCCUUUUUGCAGUUUUGAAGUGACAAACUGACUAGGCUACAAAGUAUUCAACCAUGGGCUGGUUCUGGCUGGUUCACCGAGGCUGUGUACAAAGUGUCUUCAUGUCCUGUGUUUCACCUUUUAACAUACAGAACCUAAUUUUACUGCAUUUUAAUGUUAAUUCUCCACUCGAAGGUGAACAUGGGAUGUAUGUAACACAUAUGUUUGCUUAUCAAGCACACAUAUGACCCCCUUUCAUGAAUAUUCAUAGUUCCCCCUGUGACCUGUUGAAUAUGUCUGUUUAGCCAACCUGUUUGGCAUAAAACUCCUAUCCCACCCUAUCUCCCUCAAAGUACCUGUUUGUGGUCUCAGCUGGAGGUGCCACUUCCCAGCCUGCAGUUUGCAACCCUUCUCAAGAAAUAAAGUCUUCCUUUCCAAGUUUA
rnacentral:lncRNA from 1 species